rnacentral:rRNA from 1 species
UACAGAGGGUGCGAGCGUUAAUCGGAAUUACUGGGCGUAAAGCGCACGUAGUCGGCUUUGCAAGUCGGUUGUGAAAUCCCCGGGCUCAACCUGGGAACUGCAUCCGAGACUGCAUUGCUAGAGUAUGGGAGAGGAAAGCGGAAUUUCUGGUGUAGCAGUGAAAUGCGUAGAUAUCGGAAGGAACAUCAGUGGCGAAAGCGACUUCCUGGACCAAUACUGACGCUCAUGUGCGAAAGCGUGGGGAGCAAACAGG